rnacentral:snoRNA from 1 species
GAGCAAGGGCGCCGGCCGAUAUUAAUUUAUUGAUGACGAAUCUCUUGCCUUGAAGGUUGGCCAUACCGAAAAGCGAUUCUCCGUGCCUUUCAAGUUCUUCCGUUUUGAUUACGGCCUCGAACAAAUUGCUACAUU